rnacentral:lncRNA from 1 species
CAAAUUCAAGAGGUCAUUUGUGACUUGAAAUGGUCUCUGAUGUUAAGAUGUACCACUUUUUGAGGUGUUGGGGAAGAAUGUGCUGAGACCACAAAUAGUCCUUAAUUGCAAAGUUAUGCAAGGUUCAGACAUGGUUGACAAGCAUGAUGAAUAGGAUUAAAUUGCCUGAGUGCUGGAAGGAUGUGAGGGAGAGAAACUGAAUAAGCAGUUUUUGACCUAUGUUUGAAAAGCCUACAGUUUAGGGGUAAAAGGUCGAUAAGAAAAGUAAAUAUAUUGUCUGUGAAUUUCCAUUUGCAAAAGAUGUGUCUACUGGAAGAACAUUCAGCAGUCAAAAAGGGCUGAAACAUAGAGUAGGACUCUUCAGGCUGAGAAACAGUGAAGAUGCAGCCCAAAUUACCUUGGUAAGGUGCUGUGGGGAAGACUGUUCUUAUGUCCUUUUCUUUCUCCAGGCACGUCUGCCCCUAAUGAGUUUGUGUUUUGACUUUGGGGACAGCGAAUAGAGAUGAAAGAGUAGAAGGAGUGCUUUUGGCUGAAAAUAUAAAACCCAUGAAAACUGCUCACCCAUGUUUCUCUGUUCAGGGCAAGUGUGGAAGGAACUUCUCUGGCUGUGCCAGGUGAGCCUAGAUGCAGAAGAGAGACAGGAUAUUAAGAUAUACAUGAAUUAAGUAUGACUGAGAAAAUGCAGAAUUAAUCUGCAAAUUUAAAGGAUUAAUUUAUUCCCAUUAUUUCUGUUAUUUCACUUCAUGCUCACUGUGUGCCUUUCUUGUAUUUGGUCUCUCCUUUAAAAAAAGUUUAUAAAUUUUUCCAGUGACCUGGAAGACUAUUUUUUUUUAUCUUUAAAGAAAAUAGUCUGCAGAAUAAUCUCCUCUUCUAGGCAAACAAAUGUCAUCUUCAGAAUAAAACAUGCAUACACAAGGAAAUUCCACCGAAGUAGGGGAAAAAAAGCUUACUUGGCUUGGGCCCCUUUCAGCAUGAUCUGAUAUACAGUAUUAAGUUAUCCUUAGAUGAUCUGUUAUUAUCUUCCUCCUCCCGAGCCACGUGUCAGCAACCAUAUGUGUGUGAGCAGCUGAAACUGUCCUUUGAACUCUCCACUGGCAAGUGGACGAGUGGACAGCAGGCUGGAGUUGGGUGCAGUACCUGUCCAAGUGGCUGGCCAAGCUCUGUAUCCUCAGGCCUCUGCCACUCCAGAUGGAGUCUGGAGUCAAGUCCCAGCUUGUUUGGAGUCAACUCAGGGAAUCUCAGUGAGGAAUUGCUGCUCCUGUGAGCUGAGCAUGUGAAUCCCUGGUAGCCAGAAGUUGGUAGGUGAUUCUCCUGGCCUGUUUAUUUUUUGGCUUUGUCUUCCAGACGUGUAUAUAUGCUAGACUUGAUGCACCUGCACUUGUCUCUUCCACAUCUGCAUAGCAGUGAGCAACCUCAGGAGCAUCAAUGAUGUUUAACCUUGUGAUAAUCAUAAAUCAUUCCUGAAAUUUCUGUGUAUGCCCAUUCUAUAAACUUUGUUUCAAUCAAGAGCAGCUACAUAGAAACAUUGUAUUGAUGGUUAGUGGGGAUCAGCACCAAAGGCGGUGGAAUGACAGCAAUUGGCUCUAGCCAGACAUUUGCCUAGUCAUCUUUUGGUAAAAGGGGUGUGUUAAGUCAUGAUCAGAAAGUCA